CAGCGCUCUCUGUCCUUCCCCACAGGGCUGAUGGCAGCCGUGACGUUGGACGAGUCCGGGGGCGGCCUCCAGACGCCCGGAGGAGGGCUCAGCCUCGUCUGCAAGGCCUCCGGGUUCUCCUUCAGCAGCCAUGGCAUGUUCUGGGUGCGACAGGCGCCCGGCAAGGGGCUGGAAUAUGUCGCUGAAAUUACCAGUACUGGUAGUGAGACAGCAUACGGGGCGGCGGUGGAUGGCCGUGCCACCAUCUCGAGGGACAACGGGCAGAGCACAGUGAGGCUGCAGCUGAACAACCUCAGGGCUGAGGACACCGGCAUCUACUACUGCGCCAAAAGCAGUUAUGAGUGUGCUUACAGUUGUUGGGGUUAUAGUGGUGCUCGCACAGACCUCACAGGGACAUGA